rnacentral:rRNA from 1 species
AGUGAACGCUGGCGGUAGGCCUAACACAUGCAAGUCGAACGGCAGCACAGUAAGAGCUUGCUCUUACGGGUGGCGAGUGGCGGACGGGUGAGGAAUACAUCGGAAUCUACUUUUUCGUGGGGGAUAACGUAGGGAAACUUACGCUAAUACCGCAUACGACCUACGGGUGAAAGCAGGGGAUCUUCGGACCUUGCGCGAUUGAAUGAGCCGAUGUCGGAUUAGCUAGUUGGCGGGGUAAAGGCCCACCAAGGCGACGAUCCGUAGCUGGUCUGAGAGGAUGAUCAGCCCCACUGGAACUGAGACACGGUCCAGCCUCCUACGGGAGGCAGCAGUGGGGAAUAUUGGACAAUGGGCGCAAGCCUGAUCCAGCCAUACCGCGUGGGUGAAGAAGGCCUUCGGGUUGUAAAGCCCUUUUGUUGGGAAAGAAAAGCAGCAGGUUAAUACCCCGCUGUUCUGACGGUACCCAAAGAAUAAGCACCGGCUAACUUCGUG